rnacentral:rRNA from 1 species
AUUGAACGCUGGCGGCAGGCUUAACACAUGCAAGUCGAGCGGGGGAAGGUAGCUUGCUACCGGACCUAGCGGCGGACGGGUGAGUAAUGCUUAGGAAUCUGCCUAUUAGUGGGGGACAACAUCUCGAAAGGGAUGCUAAUACCGCAUACGUCCUACGGGAGAAAGCAGGGGAUCUUCGGACCUUGCGCUAAUAGAUGAGCCUAAGUCGGAUUAGCUAGUUGGUGGGGUAAAGGCCUACCAAGGCGACAAUCUGUAGCGGGUCUGAGAGGAUGAUCCGCCACACUGGGACUGAGACACGGCCCAGACUCCUACGGGAGGCAGCAGUGGGGAAUAUUGGACAAUGGGGGGAACCCUGAUCCAGCCAUGCCGCGUGUGUGAAGAAGGCCUUAUGGUUGUAAGGCACUUUAAGCGAGGAGGAGGCUACUUUAGUUAAUACCUAGAGAUAGUGGACGUUACUCGCAGAAUAAGCACCGGCUAACUCUGUGCCAGCAGCCGCGGUAAUACAGAGGGUGCGAGCGUUAAUCGGAUUUACUGGGCGUAAAGCGUGCGUAGGCGGCUUAUUAAGUCGGAUGUGAAAUCCCCGAGCUUAACUUGGGAAUUGCAUUCGAUACUGGUGAGCUAGAGUAUGGGAGAGGAUGGUAGAAUUCCAGGUGUAGCGGUGAAAUGCGUAGAGAUCUGGAGGAAUACCGAUGGC